rnacentral:rRNA from 1 species
AACGAACGCUGGCGGCAUGCCUAACACAUGCAAGUCGAACGAGACCUUCGGGUCUAGUGGCGCACGGGUGCGUAACGCGUGGGAACCUGCCCUUAGGUUCGGAAUAACUCCCCGAAAGGGGUGCUAAUACCGGAUAAUGUCUUCGGACCAAAGAUUUAUCGCCUUUGGAUGGGCCCGCGUGGGAUUAGCUAGUUGGUAGGGUAAAAGCCUACCAAGGCGACGAUCCAUAGCUGGUCUGAGAGGAUGAUCAGCCACACUGGGACUGAGACACGGCCCAGACUCCUACGGGAGGAAGCAGUGGGGAAUAUUGGACAAUGGGCGAAAGCCUGAUCCAGCAAUGCCGCGUGAGUGAUGAAGGCCUUAGGGUUGUAAAGCUCUUUUACCCGGGAUGAUAAUGACAGUACCGGGAGAAUAAGCUCCGGCUAACUCCGUG